rnacentral:rRNA from 1 species
GACGUAGGGGGCCAGCGUUGCUCGGAAUUACUGGGCGUAAAGGGUUCGUAGGCGGUGCGGCAAGUUGGGAGUGAAAUCUCUGGGCUUAACUCAGAGGCUGUUUCCAAAACUGCCGCGCUUGAGUGCGGGAGAGGCGAGUGGAAUUGCAGGUGUAGCGGUGAAAUGCGUAGAUAUCUGCAGGAACACCCGUGGCGAAAGCGGCUCGCUGGACCGCAACUGACGCUGAGGAACGAAAGCUAGGGGAGCAAACAGG